rnacentral:misc_RNA from 1 species
GAUGAAGAACGUAGCGAAAUGCGAUAAGUAAUGUGAAUUGCAGAAUUCAGUGAAUCAUCGAAUCUUUGAACGCACAUUGCGCCCUCUGGUAUUCCGGGGGGCAUGUCUGUUCGAGCGUCAUUAUAACCACUCAAGCUCUCGCUUGGUAUUGGGGUUCGCGGUUCCGCGGCCCCUAAAAUCAGUGGCGGUGCCUGUCGGCUCUACGCGUAGUAAUACUCCUCGCGAUUGAGUCCGGUAGGUCUACUUGCCAGCAACCCCCAAUUUUUACAGGUUGACCUCGGAUCAGGUAGGGAUACCCGCUGAACUUAAGCAUAUCAAUAAGCGGAGGA